UCCCUGGUGGUCUAGUGGCUAAGACCCUGCACUCCUAAUGCAGGGGACCUGCGUUCGAUUCCUGGUCAGGGAA
rnacentral:tRNA from 2 species